rnacentral:lncRNA from 1 species
AUCAAGUACUAGCUGAAAAAUUCUUCUCCUUCCUAUUUCCCAAUCUCCCUUCUCCUUCUGCUGCACCAAAGCCUUCUCCUUCUGCUGCACCAAAGCCUUCUCCUUCUCACUGAAAGGGUCGGGCGUUGGAGUGGAACAUAUACGAGAGCUAAUUGUAAAAAUAGAAAAAAGAGACUCUUCAAUCCUUGAAUUUGUGUCAAGGUAAAUUACUGAAAUGAAAUAAUAUCAACUUUCUUCCAUUAUUCCAAAAUUAGUCCAUUUAAUUUUUUUACAGCCCAUAAAAAUAUGCAUAAAAUACGCUACAUUAAUUCUUGUUUACCAUUGAUUUAAUGGUGAAUAUCAGAUCAAUAGAUCAAUUAAAAGGGGAAAAAAAACUUGAUUGCUCUCAGUUGAAAGGCCAAAGUUUGUCCACAGGAGAGAGCUUGAAAGAGGAAUCCAAAUCCUCCUCUGAUUAAACCAAACUAGCUACUUCUUAGUGCUUGACAGAGCCUUCUUCUUCUCUCUAAAAGACGGAGAUCCAGUGAACCUCCAUUCCCCUAGAAAAAAGACUCAUCAAGCGUCCAUCAAGCACAAAAAAGCACUGCUACUUGCCUUAAACAAAGGCUGAUCCAAAUAAACAUCCUCCAAACCCUAUUUUCGGUGUGGUUAAAGCAAAUUCAAUCAUCAUCGAGCAAACAAACAAAUAAAGAGAAUUUGUGGAACUCACGAGAAAAAGCAAGAAUCCAUAGAAAACAUAAAUCUGCUUGUCCAUGAGCACCUUUGCUUUCGCAUCGCUUCGUAUUCUCUGAGCUAUAUAAUCACAAAACACAGAGAAUCAUAGGCAGAUGCUUGUUUGUUGAUUAAAAACAUCAGAUCCAUAGAUGACACAAACAGGGAAACAAACUUAAAAAUAUAAAAUCAUAGAAUCACACAAGAGAAGACAGAGACUGAUACUAUAA